GCCGCGGUAAUUCCAGCUCCAAUAGCGUAUAUUAAAGUUGUUGCAGUUAAAAAGCUCGUAGUUGGAUUUGUGGUUGGAGAGGUCCGCCGUUGCUAUGCUUCGUGUUGGAUCUUUCCGUCCAUCCUUGGGUGGAUCCUGUGUGGCAUUCAGUUGUCGUGCAGGGGAUGCCCAUCGUUUACUGUGAAAAAAUUAGAGUGUUCAAAGCAGGCUUACGCCUUGAAUAUAUUAGCAUGGAAUAAUAAGAUAGGACCUGGGUACUAUUUUGUUGGUUUGCGCACCGAGGUAAUGAUUAAUAGGGACAGUCAGGGGCACUCGUAUUCCGUAGAGAGAGGUGAAAUUCUUAGACCCACGGAAGACGCACUACUGCGAAAGCAUUUGCCAGGGAUGUUUUCACUGAUCAAGAACGAAAGUUAGGGGAUCGAAGAUGAUCAGAUACCGUCGUAGUCUUAACCAUAAACCAUGCCGACCAGGGAUUGGUGGUUGUCAUCUUUGACUCCAUCAGCACCUUUCGAGAAAUCAGAGUCUUUGGGUUCCGGGGGGAGUAUGGUCGCA
rnacentral:rRNA from 1 species